UUUUCAUACUUUUUCUCAUCUUUAUCUAGCCAUUUCAUUGGGCUUAGGAGCCUCCUAGGAGCAUUGGAACACAUGAUCACUUGAGCUUCAAAACAAGAAGAGUUAGUGACAUAUUUUUGUGCUUUUUGUUAGUAAUCAAAUAAUUAGAGCAACAAUAUACAAUACAAGCAUGCUUGGUGGUCUCAAACCACUGACACAAGUCCCAACCCUAGGGUUAAGGAGCCAAACAUGCUAUGAUCCUUGAGGCAAUGCACUUGUGCAAUAACAUGAUGCCAUGAGGGAU
rnacentral:lncRNA from 1 species